ACGGAGUUGUCUCUCUUGAAUGAAACCAAGCACUUGAUAGCUGGUCAAGGUUGUUUAUACUAGAAAUCCAAUUAAACAUAUUCCUAACAUCCUCAAUAAUUUCGGGUCAUACUAUAGAAUUCAUCAUGUACCA